rnacentral:tRNA from 1 species
GCCGAAGUGGCGGAACUGGCAGACGCGCAGCGUUCAGGUCGCUGUGACCGCAAGGUCGUGGAGGUUCAACUCCUCUCUUCGGCACCA